GUUAUAUGGUCAAGUGAAGAAGCGCAUACGGUGGAUGCCUUGGCAGUCAGAGGCGAUGAAAGACGUGGUAGCCUGCGAAAAGCUUCGGGGAGUCGGCAAACAGACUGUGAUCCGGAGAUGUCUGAAUGGGGGAACCCAGCCAUCACAAGAUGGUUAUCUUGCACUGAAUACAUAGGUGCAAGAGGCGAACCAGGGGAACUGAAACAUCUAAGUACCCUGAGGAAAAGAAAUCAACCGAGAUUCCCUUAGUAGUGGCGAGCGAACGGGGAUUAGCCCUUAAGCUUCUUUGAUUUUAGCGGAACGCUCUGGAAAGUGCGGCCAUAGUGGGUGAUAGCCCUGUACGCGAAAGGAUCUUAGAAGUGAAAUCGAGUAGGACGGAGCACGAGAAACUUUGUCUGAAUAUGGGGGGACCAUCCUCCAAGGCUAAAUACUACUGACUGACCGAUAGUGAACUAGUACCGUGAGGGAAAGGCGAAAAGAACCCCGGAGAGGGGAGUGAAAUAGAUCCUGAAACCGUAUGCGUACAAGCAGUGGGAGCCCACUUUGUUGGGUGACUGCGUACCUUUUGUAUAAUGGGUCAGCGACUUAUUUUCAGUGGCGAGCUUAACCGAAUAGGGGAGGCGUAGCGAAAGCGAGUCUUAAUAGGGCGUCUAGUCGCUGGGAAUAGACCCGAAACCGGGCGAUCUAUCCAUGGGCAGGUUGAAGGUUAGGUAACACUGACUGGAGGACCGAACCGACUACCGUUGAAAAGUUAGCGGAUGACCUGUGGAUCGGAGUGAAAGGCUAAUCAAGCUCGGAGAUAGCUGGUUCUCCUCGAAAGCUAUUUAGGUAGCGCCUCAUGUAUCACUGUAGGGGGUAGAGCACUGUUUCGGCUAGGGGGUCAUCCCGACUUACCAAACCGAUGCAAACUCCGAAUACCUACAAGUGCCGAGCAUGGGAGACACACGGCGGGUGCUAACGUCCGUCGUGAAAAGGGAAACAACCCAGACCGUCAGCUAAGGUCCCAAAGUUAUGGUUAAGUGGGAAACGAUGUGGGAAGGCUUAGACAGCUAGGAGGUUGGCUUAGAAGCAGCCACCCUUUAAAGAAAGCGUAAUAGCUCACUAGUCGAGUCGGCCUGCGCGGAAGAUGUAACGGGGCUCAAACCAUACACCGAAGCUACGGGUAUCACGUAAGUGAUGCGGUAGAGGAGCGUUCUGUAAGCCUGUGAAGGUGAGUUGAGAAGCUUGCUGGAGGUAUCAGAAGUGCGAAUGCUGACAUGAGUAACGACAAUGGGUGUGAAAAACACCCACGCCGAAAGACCAAGGUUUCCUGCGCAACGUUAAUCGACGCAGGGUUAGUCGGUCCCUAAGGCGAGGCUGAAAAGCGUAGUCGAUGGAAAACAGGUUAAUAUUCCUGUACUUCUGGUUAUUGCGAUGGAGGGACGGAGAAGGCUAGGCCAGCUUGGCGUUGGUUGUCCAAGUUUAAGGUGGUAGGCUGAAAUCUUAGGUAAAUCCGGGGUUUCAAGGCCGAGAGCUGAUGACGAGUUACCCUCUGGGUGACGAAGUGGUUGAUGCCAUGCUUCCAAGAAAAGCUUCUAAGCUUCAGAUAACCAGGAACCGUACCCCAAACCGACACAGGUGGUUGGGUAGAGAAUACCAAGGCGCUUGAGAGAACUCGGGUGAAGGAACUAGGCAAAAUGGCACCGUAACUUCGGGAGAAGGUGCGCCGGUGAGGGUGAAGCACUUGCUGCGUAAGCCCACGCCGGUCGAAGAUACCAGGCCGCUGCGACUGUUUAUUAAAAACACAGCACUCUGCAAACUCGUAAGAGGACGUAUAGGGUGUGACACCUGCCCGGUGCCGGAAGGUUAAUUGAUGGGGUUAGCGCAAGCGAAGCUCUUGAUCGAAGCCCCGGUAAACGGCGGCCGUAACUAUAACGGUCCUAAGGUAGCGAAAUUCCUUGUCGGGU
rnacentral:rRNA from 1 species